AGAGACAUACAUGUUUUAUCUAUAUUUUUUCUAUACUGACCACAUUUUUCUCCAUUUUGCUUUUUUUACAGAUACCACAACAUACUCCACUGAGCAAUCUGAGCACUUUAAGCCAUGCAAAGAUAAGGAUCUUGCAUACUGUCUCAACGAUGGGGAAUGCUUUGUCAUUGAAACCUUAACAGGUUCCCACAAACACUGCCGAUACAGAUAUAUGGUGUUGUAUUUCAUUACAAGAAAACAUUAAAUGGGAUGUUCUCACAGACCACGAGCUAGAUUCAGCCUCUGAAACAUUUUUUUCCGGAGCCCAGCCAAGCCUCUUUCAGUGGAUAUUCAGCAAUGUUUGCCCUCAUCCUCCUCUGUAGAGGUUUACGUGAGCAGGGUGACUACAGCAACAACUCGGUUUUCUAGGCUUCCAUCUCUGUAUAUGUAAUUAUGGAUGGUUGAAUCAUAAUAUAAUUCAGUGUUACCACUCUCUGAGAAUUGAGCAUAAUGUCUGGU
rnacentral:lncRNA from 11 species